rnacentral:rRNA from 1 species
GCACCUAAACGGCGAAACUGCGAAUGGCUCAUUAAAUCAGUUAUCGUAUAUUUGAUAGUACCUACUACAUGGAUAACCGUGGUAAUUCUAGAGCUAAUACAUGCUUAAAAUCCCGACUUCGGAAGGGAUGUAUUUAUUAGAUUAAAAACCAAUGCCCUUCGGGGCUCACUGGUGAUUCAUAAUAACUUCUCGAAUCGCAUGGCCUUGUGCCGGCGAUGGUUCAUUCAAAUUUCUGCCCUAUCAACUUUCGACGGCUGGGUCUUGGCCAGCCGUGGUUACAACGGGUAACGGAGGGUUAGGGCUUGACCCCGGAGAAGGAGCCUGAGAAACGGCUACUACAUCCAAGGAAGGCAGCAGGCGCGCAAAUUACCCAAUCCCGACACGGGGAGGUAGUGACAAUAAAUACUGAUACAGGGCUCUUUUGGGUCUUGUAAUUGGAAUGAGUACAAUUUAAAUCCCUUAACGAGGAACAAUUGGAGGGCAAGUCUGGUGCCAGCAGCCGCGGUAAUUCCAGCUCCAAUAGCGUAUAUUAAAGUUGUUGCAGUUAAAAAGCUCGUAGUUGAACCUUGGGCCUGGCUGGCCGGUCUGCCUCACCGCAUGCACUGGUCCGGCCGGGCCUUUCCCUCUGGGGAUCCGCAUGCCCUUCACUGGGUGUGUCGGGGAACCAGGACUUUUACUGUGAAAAAAUUAGAGUGUUCAAAGCAGGCCUAUGCUCGAAUACAUUAGCAUGGAAUAAUAGAAUAGGACGUUGCGGUUCUAUUUUGUUGGUUUCUAGGACCGCCGUAAUGAUUAAUAGGGACAGUCGGGGGCGUCAGUAUUCAAUCGUCAGAGGUGAAAUUCUUGGAUCGAUUGAAGACUAACUACUGCGAAAGCAUUCGCCAAGGAUGUUUUCAUUAAUCAGGAACGAAAGUUAGGGGAUCGAAAACGAUCAGAUACCGUUGUAGUCUUAACCAUAAACUAUGCCGACUAGGGAUCGGGCGAUGUUAUUUCUUGACUCGCUCGGCACCUUACACGAAAGUAAAG